GAUGAACGCUGGCGGCGUGCCUAAUACAUGCAAGUCGAGCGAACAGACGAGGAGCUUGCUCCUCUGACGUUAGCGGCGGACGGGUGAGUAACACGUGGAUAACCUACCUAUAAGACUGGGAUAACUUCGGGAAACCGGAGCUAAUACCGGAUAAUAUAUUGAACCGCAUGGUUCAAUAGUGAAAGACGGUUUUGCUGUCCCUUAUAGAUGGAUCCGCUCCGCAUUAGCUAGUUGGUAAGGUAAAGGCUUACCAAGGCAACGAUGCGUAGCCGACCUGAGAGGGUGAUCGGCCACACUGGAACUGAGACACGGUCCAGACUCCUACGGGAGGCAGCAGUAGGGAAUCUUCCGCAAUGGGCGAAAGCUUGACGGAGCAACGCCGCGUGAGUGAUGAAGGUCUUCGGAUCGUAAAACUCUGUUAUUAGGGAAGAACAAAUGUGUAAGUAACUAUGCACGUCUUGACGGUACCUAAUCAGAAAGCCACGGCUAACUACGUG
rnacentral:rRNA from 1 species